rnacentral:misc_RNA from 1 species
ACAGCAUUCUCUGCUCUGUCCUUGCCUAAAUUUCUAAGAUUAACCACGGCCGGCAGUUCGGCGGGGGAGAUCUCGACAGGAACGAUACUGAUAUUAAUCUGAGAUGGUGGGAAGGGGGAAAGCACCUUGAAUUGGUGGAUCACGAGAACUGCGAUGGCAAAGGGGCACGGAUUGGGGGUGAUGAAGAUCGAGAUGCUGAGAGAGGCAAGCGAAACCACA